AGUGAACGCUGGCGGUAGGCCUAACACAUGCAAGUCGAACGGCAGCACAGUAAGAGCUUGCUCUUACGGGUGGCGAGUGGCGGACGGGUGAGGUAUACAUCGGACUCUACUUUUUCGUGGGGGAUAACGUAGGGAAACUUACGCUAAUACCGCAUACGACCUACGGGUGAAAGCAGGGGAUCUUCGGACCUUGCGCGAUUGAAUGAGCCGAUGACGGAUUAGCUAGUUGGCGGGGUAAAGGCCCACCAAGGCGACGAUCCGUAGCUGGUCUGAGAGGAUGAUCAGCCACACUGGAACUGAGACACGGUCCAGACUCCUACGGGAGGCAGCAGUGGGGAAUAUUGGACAAUGGGCGCAAGCCUGAUCCAGCCAUACCGCGUGGGUGAAGAAGGCCUUCGGGUUGUAAAGCCCUUUUGUUGGGAAAGAAAAGCAGCAGGUUAAUACCCCGCUGUUCUGACGGUACCCGAAGAAUAAGCACCGGCUAACUUCGUG
rnacentral:rRNA from 1 species